GCUUUCCCUAGUAGUUAGCUUUUAAUAUUCUGUUUUUCAUUGGAACUUUCAUGUUUUCUCUCCUUUAGGGAUCUACUUCUCUGAAGAACCUAUAUGGACUAGAUCUUUGUUCAUUGUUUCUAGUUCUUGAAAGUUAUUGUUUCUCGUUGCAGGUUGUAAAAGCUUGAGGAGAUUAAGAAACCUGGAGAUUCUGGAUCUCUCUUAUAAUGAAUUCAACAACAGUAUCUUUCCCUUUCUUAACGCUGCAACAUCACUCACAACUCUUUUUCUUAGGGACAACUUCAUGGUUGACCCUUUUCCUGUUAAAGGUAUGUUUUCCCAUUUGUAUAUAUAGCAUGUCCUAAUUCUUUUAGGGAUGAUAUAUUAUUCUUCUACUAGGGAUUAACCCGCGCUAUAUAUUUUUUAUCAUUAAUUAAUUUAAAUAAUUUUAUGAAACAGUUAUUUUGUAAAAACAGUUAUUGUUAUAAAGUUUACAAUAAUAUAGUGCAUAUUUUUAUGAAUUUUAAAUAAUGAAUUGAUCUGUAUAUAUAUAUAUAUAUAUAUAUAUUUGAAUUAUAAAAAAUAAGUUAAUCCGUAUAUGAAAUUAUUUUAUAAGCGUGUAAAACAAAAUAAGUUGUUUUAAUUUCGUUGGUACUAAACUAAAAUAUUAAUUAGGCUAAUAUAUAAAAAUUAUAAUAUUAUAAUCAUCAACUCUAAUUUGCAUCGUUUAAUAAUUGACAUUUAUAAUCUGUUCACAAACUAUAAAAAUUUAAUUUUAUCUUUUUAACUAUAUAUGAAAAUAAUAUAAUAUUCUUUACACUUAGGUUUGAUAUACAAUAAAUAAAUAUAUAACAAAUUAUAUUUAAUUUUAAAAAUAAAUAUAAUUUAGUAGAUUGAAUAUAUUACCUAUUUUAAAAAAUUAAUAUUUUGAAUUUUGAGAUUUUUUGUGGGUAUUAAAAAAUUAAAAUUAUAAUCUAUUCAUAUCGAACUAACCAUUUACUUAACAUGUUUGUAUUGGAUAAAAAUUUAAUAAUUAAUUAUAAUAUUCACCGUUCAAUAACUCUUAUUUUACCACAAACUUUUUUUAUUUAAAAAUCAAUUUUUUUAUAUCAAAAUUUUAGUAAAAUAACUAAAAAUGUAUUUUUGUAUAUAAUCAAUCAAAUGUAGCAAAUUAUUGAAAAAAAAUACUUCACCACUUUUUUAAUAUCAUAACUUUUAAUUUUGACUUUUAUAAUAUUUCUAAUUCAAAAAUUGAUUUUCACGUUUUUUAAUUAAAAUAUACUUUAUAAUAUCAUUUGAAAAUAAAAAUAAUAAAAAUACUAUCAUAUUUUUAAAUUUAGAAAUUAAAUAAUAAAUAUACUCUAUUAAAUGAGAAAUAAAAAUUUUCCAUAUUUUUAGCAAUAGAGUUGAAAGACAACUAUAUCAUUUUCUAUUUUAAUUAUUCUUUGUUAUUUUUAAUAGCAUUAAUAUUUUACAAAAUAAAGAUUAUAUUUUAAGAGUUUCAGAUUUAACUCAUAUUUCAAAGUCAAACACAAAACUAACCUCUUUUUUUUCUCUCUCCAACUUUUGUUAUUUUCUCACAAUUUUAUCCUUCUCACUUAAACUAUUAUCGAAAAUGCCAUUAUACAUCUAAUAAAUCGAUUUUUCUUUAAUUGGCUAAAGUCUUCUUGGACCUUCUAAAAACUUUUUAAUUACGAGACUGCCAUCGUCUUUAGUAUCUUCAACCACCAUGAACAACCAUGAAAAUGGAAUAAAUGCUUAUCAACCUGUUUUAAAGCUGUAAUAAAACAAAUAUCUAAGCUCAUUCACUCAUAAUCUUGCUCAUUCUAUCAUAAUUUCUUCUCCAAAACAUCUGGGCAUAGUUGCAAUGCUUCGCGCCAUCCUUUUGCGGUGAAUUCUGGUUUACUCGACACCUGGGUUGUUUAAUUUCAGUGAAAUCCUAAGUUCUGGGUAGAUAAGAGAAACUUAGGGGAGCUCAAUUUUGUCAAAGGUAAUUCUCGCACUUCAAUUUCUCCACAUUUCAGUUUUUAUAUCGCGAAAGUAGACUUCUCGUGAACUAUAGUAAAGCCUAUGAGUCAACAUAAGGUUAUUUUUGCAAUUGACUUUUAAAAAGUAGACUUCUUUAAACCUCACGAGAAGUCUACUCGAUAUCCUUUGAAAACAAAAUAAAAUCAUAGUAGACUUCAUCUGACGGCUUAAGAAGUCUACGAAAGAAAAGAGGUUAUUUUUGUAGUUGACCGUAUUUUGACUUUUUAAUGUAGACUUCUAACUGAAGUUUACUGUUUACGUCUGCACACGAAGUCUACAUUUAGGUUAAUUUUGUAGUUUGACCAAAAACAUAUAGGUCAUUUUUGUGUUUGACUUAUGUUUUUCAAAAAUUAAAAAAUUAAAAAAAUUUCAAAAAGCUUCAGUAGACUUCACAAAGAAGUCUACAGUUUGUAGACUUCUUUGUGAAGUCUACUUAUUGUGUUCGGUCAAACUUAGAAGGAAUAUUUUUUUAGUAGACUUCAUUGUGAAGUCUACUAAAAAAAUUCAAUUGCAAAAAUAACCUAUUUCGUUCCGUAGACUUCUAUUUAUAAAGUAGACUUCAAACGUAGACUGCCAGAGAAGUCUACUCUUACAUGAAGUCUACAAUAGAAGUCUACUGUGUUAGUCAACGCGGUGGUCAAAUGCAAAAGUAACAUUCUUUGCCUGAAGUCUACAACUGAAGUCUACUGAAGAAAAAGUCAACGGAAUGGUCAAUUGCAAAAAUAACAUUUUUUUAGUAGACUUCAGUAGUAGACUUCUCAAUGAAAAAGUAGACUUCUCCUCCAGUCUACAUUCGAAGUCUAAAUAAGAAGUCUACUUUCCUAUGUUUUUUUUAAAACGCGUUUUAAGCAAAUGUAUAAAAUAUUUUUCAAACUUUUUGGUUCAGAAUUGCCUCUUAUUAGGUGAUUGAGCUACCCAUUGAAUUUUAUCUCAUUUCAUUGGAUAUUCAUGGUGGAAUCAGAAGUUUCAAUUUUUAAGAUACUUAGCUUAUAAAAGUAGACUUCGUAGUGAAGUCUACGUUCUAAGUCUACACUAGAAGUCUACGUUUAGACGUUUUUAUAAAAACGCCAUUUAAGCAAAUCUAUAAAAAAAAUUUCAAAUUUUUUUGUUUACAAUUGUUUAUUAAUUAGUGAUUGAACUAUCUAGGGCUUUUUAUUCUGUUUCAUUGAAUAUUUCUUGUUGAAUCAGAAUUUUCGAUUUUUAAGGUACUCAGCUUAUCAAAGUAGACUUCAUCGUGAAGUCUACUUUGAUACAAAAAGUCUCUAUGAUUGUUUGCUAAUACGGUUUAUAUGGUUAUUUUUCAGAGGAUGGCUCAAAUUCCAGACUUAUAAUUCUUAUCAUAAUAAAACUUUCUGUUGACUUAUACUAUCGGUGUACACUUUUCCGCAUACACUUUGUUUUGUAUACUCGAAAAUUACAUAACUUAAUUAUAAGGGUGAAAUCGAAAAUUUGAAAUAUUAACAUGUUAAUAGACUUAAUAGACUUCAGUACAGAUACAAUGACAAGUUAGUAGACUUCAGUCACAGACUUCAGUCGUAGACUUCAGUUUUAGUACAAAUCCUAAACGAAAAUACAACAUAUUUGGCAAGUUAAUUAUAAGAUAGGUGGCCAAAAAACUUCCACACCUAUUAUUUACCAAUUGCUAAAAUGACCUCCAAUCACAUGGAAGGUCAUUUAUGCAAAUAGCCCAAAAGUUGCCAUAAAAAUCAAAGUUAAUUUUAAGAACGAAAACACUAAGCUUGCCUAUCAUAGACAUCCAACCCGGUUGCAUCUAGCUUAUCAUGGCCCUUACAUCCUGUCGCAGCCAGCUGGCGGUGUCGGGCACUCGUUGCUCGGGAAACUAGCUGAGCCGCUUCUCUGGCUUUGGCAUUUUUGGCAAGUGCAACCGCAUCGAAGUCUACAUCACACGUCUUCGGGUCAAUUUCACAAAUACUAGGCUCUGGGGCCUCUUCUUCAUUAACGGCAGCCUUCUUUCCUUUUGCAUCCCCGGGGGUGUUAACACUCUCACACGCACCAACGUUGACAUUAGCCCUCUUCGGAGCAUCAUCUUUCUCUGAAUUACUCUGUAGUUUAUUGUCAGAAACAUGCAUGAAUAUACAAAUGAGUACACCAAUGCUAUAAUUUAGUAACAUGUUUUAUCAUAGUCUGAAAAUUGUAAACAACAAGUUUUGAAAACAUAAGUAAAUAAUCUCAAAUGGUACAUAACAGUAGUAAACAUGUUCGAAUUCAAAUGACAUUAGUAUUAAGUGUUCCUAACUUUGUGUGAUCCUGUUCGCAUGUAAUGUUUUCGUAUAGGCGGAGGGUUUUUGGAACUAACCCCUUCAUGCUUCUUGGAUCCAGUGCCCUGCUGCUGGGUUGGCUCUUCCUCAGUGUGCUUCGCCGACCCUGUAGUCAACUCUUCUACCGCACGCUCUACAGAUUCAACCUUCUCGGUGAGAAGUUUGAUCUGCUUUUCACAGCUACCAAGACCAUUCAGCAUCUUGGUUGAAAAGCUUUCGAAGCAUUGGUCGAAGUGCGCUUUCAUAGUAGCGACAACUCCGACCCCUUCAUCACCAACGAAUGAUGCGGCAGAUGCAGAGGCUGUGCAGGGUCUCUUGCGACUUGAUUCAUCUGAGGGAAGGCUCCUCUUUCAGGCUUCUGACUUGACGAUGUGUGCACCCAAAACACCUUCCAAAGGCCAAUGGUCUUUUGAGAACUUGGAAUUGGGGUCAUGGAGUGCAUUGACAAUCUUUACAAUAUCUGGAUCCUGUUCGUCAUCAUCCCACACGGGAAACAUAUCCGCCAAGUCCUUAGCCACGCAGGACUGUAUGCGAGCCUGGAAAAACACGAUUAAUAAAUAGAUUUAGAGCCAUAUGAAGCCUCGGAAAACUACGUAUGAAGUCUACUCCUGAAAUCUAACAUAGAAGUCUACCCCUGAAGUCUAACACAGAAGUCUACUCCUGAAUGUCACACACUAUUAAUGACACAUAUAGAAGUCUACACAUGAAGUCUACUUCUGAAGUCUACAUUGAAAACUCAUUACUACAUAGAAGUCUACUACACUAAUACAGUACUUGUUUUAGCAUGUUGGCUUUGACGUUCCUUCGUCCUCUGGAUCCUUUGUAAGCCAGCAAAAGAGGUUCUUCAGUAACAUUUGGCAAUGGUUCGCCAAAUUCAGCAGCAAAAUCUGGUAAAGCAUAGUAAACCCACAGUUGAAGAGCUUGCACAAAUCCUUCUAUAUGAAUGUUUUUGCUGAGAUCUUUCUCCUUAACAGAAUUGAUCAAAUGCUGAAAAGCAAUUCUUCCCCAUGGAAACUCCUUAAAACCUUCGAGAUUCAUCACUAGUCUGGCAUGGUUGACAUUUGUGGAUGAGCCGGGUCUCGUUGCCACUAUGAAACCAGCGUAGAUCCCAAGAUAACCCAACCGCAGCCUAUCAUCACGAGACCAUGAUGAGCAGUUGGAACAGGCUUCGAUAAUUUUGGUAGUGCUUGGGCCCGACUCGGCAUCGACCCCCAUUAGCUCCAAAAUGCACGCGUGUCAUCGGAAAGCGCAAGAUCAGUUAAAGCCAAGUCAUCCACGUACCCGCAGUUAAGUCCGGUGAUCUCCUCAAACUCAUGCAAUAAAAACCGAACAGGAGUGGUACCAAUGAGGCUCCAUAUCUCGUACCUCUGCUUGCAAACUAUCUGAAAGGUCAGCAUGUGGUGCACCAGCCUAGAAGCCCAACCAAAAUCCAACUCGUGGAACUUUAAAAAGACACCCAACGGUGACUCGUAAAUCUCUUCCCAUUCAUCCUCCUCUAGAGCUGACUUUAGUGCAUGGACCAGCCUAUAAUCAUCAGCGUAAUAGCCGAUGCUUUUAUCCGGGACUGGCUCAAACCCUUUGGUGUAAAGUCUUCUGGGGAAUUCAGAGGCCAUUAUCUAACAAAGAUUCCUGCGUCAACAGUAACAAAGCUCUAAUGAGAAAAACUAGUAACGGUUUGAAACUAUACCCGAAUGAAGUCUACAGUUUCAAAAUGAAGUCUACUUUAUUAAAAUGAAGUCUACUUUCCCAAAAUAAAGUCUACUUUCCCAAAAUGAAGUCUACUUUCCCAAUAUGUGAAGUCUACUUUCAGUAAAAGAAGUCUACUUUCACAAAAAGAAGUCUACUUUCACAAAAAGAAGUCUACUUUCACAAAAUGAAGUCUACUUUCACAAAAUGAAGUCUACUUUCACAAAAUGAAGUCUACUUUCACAAAAUGAAGUUUACUUUCACAAAUGAAGUCUACUUUCACAAAAUGAAUUCUACUUUCACUAAAAUUACAGUAUAUGAAGUCAAUCUACAAAGUUUAGAGUGUUACCGCCUUUAUUAGAUGUAGCUGGCGCCGAGAAAAUACAACCAGAUCUGGUAAAAAAACCUAAGUCAAACCCGACGGAACAAAAAUUACAGGAAGAUAGAAGAAAUUUAAGAAUUGCUAAGGAUAUAACUUCGGAACAACAUCUACUAACCGUUUUGAGGCAGAAAAUUACUUUAACCUCCAACGGCGAAAGCAAAUCUGCAAAAAAAAACAAAAACCCUAAUUUCGGAUCUCGAAAACGGAACGGUGAUGAAUACAGAGGAGUAGGGAAGCAUGGGGGUGUGGUUGGAGAAAGAAAACUUGCCUGAACGAGUUUAUCGGCGGCAGUUCUGAAUGUCGACGGCGCCGGAGCAGAGAAACGGAAAUUGCCUUCGAGUUUUUUUUUUUACACGAACUUUUCGACGGUUUUUUUUUAACGGGAUCUGUAAUUCGUAUAUAUAGUCUGGUAAUUCCGUACGGUUCGGGUAAGUUUUUUCCGGUUAAAGUUGCUAAUUUUUCGGGGUCUAGGUUAAUUUACCCGGUUAAGGGCAGUUUCUCUUGGUUAAGGGAAGUUAUUUCCGGUUUAAUCUCGGUUAAAUAUCCGUUAGGUUAAUUUUUACGGUUUAGUAGACUUCAAUAUCGAAGUCUACAACUUUUAAAACCUAAAUAAUAAAUUUAUUUCUAUUUAAUUUAAAAACAUACAUUUCCAUUUACCAAUGUGAAAAAACUAAUUUUUUUGUAUUUGGGUUACUAUUAUGGAAUUUAUGAUGGUAAAAUUCAGACCAAAAUAAUUUUUUAUAAAUUUUUAAAUUAAAUUUACAGAUUUAAUUAUUUAGUAGACUUCAGUUUUACUUUAGUAGACUUCGUAAGGGAGAAAACGGUAAUUAGGAUAUCCGUUUUUUGUUUACACAUACAGGAUUAAAUGGUUUUUUCACUACCCCUGUAGAUUAUAUCUGUCAAAUGUUUUUUCAGGAGUCUACUUUUGUAUUCAAAAUCAAAUUUUGGGUUAUUUUUAGCAAAAACCCCAUAUUUUAAAAUGUUUACUCAAAUAAUAAUAUAGAGAUUCGUUGGACUCCCCCUUUUAGAACUUGGAGAUUUUGUUCAUUGUUUCUAAUUCUUGAAAGUUAUUGUUUCUCGUUGCAGGUUAUAAAAGCUUGAGGAGAUUAAGAGACCUGGAGAUUCUGGAUCUCUCCUGGAAUAAUUUCAACAACAGCAUCUUUCCCUUUCUUAACGCUGCUACAUCACUCACAACUCUGUUUCUUAGGGGCAACA
rnacentral:lncRNA from 1 species